rnacentral:rRNA from 1 species
CCUACGGGGGGCAGCAGUGGGGAAUAUUGCACAAUGGGCGCAAGCCUGAUGCAGCGACGCCGCGUGGGGGAUGACGGCCUUCGGGUUGUAAACUCCUUUCGCCAGGGACGAAGCGUUUUGUGACGGUACCUGGAGAAGAAGCACCGGCUAACUACGUGCCAGCAGCCGCGGUAAUACGUAGGGUGCAAGCGUUGUCCGGAAUUACUGGGCGUAAAGAGCUCGUAGGUGGUUUGUCACGUCGUCUGUGAAAUUCCACAGCUUAACUGUGGGCGUGCAGGCGAUACGGGCUGACUUGAGUACUGUAGGGGUAACUGGAAUUCCUGGUGUAGCGGUGAAAUGCGCAGAUAUCAGGAGGAACACCGAUGGCGAAGGCAGGUUACUGGGCAGUUACUGACGCUGAGGAGCGAAAGCAUGGGUAGCAAACAGGAUUAGAUACCCUUGUAGUC